UUUAAUUUUGAAAAGCAUAUUAUUAUUUUUUUAAUUUUUAAAAACAUUAAUUUAUGAAAACAUAUUUUCAAACUUUUGACCACAGUUUUUUUUUGUAUUGAAUAAAUAUAGUUUGACAAAGGGAAAAUUUGUAUUGAUUAUGGUCCACGGAAACAGAGUCAUGCCUGGAUGAGCAGAAGCGUGGAAAAAACCUGUACAAACUAAUGCUAAGUCAGCAACAAACUGUCUGAUGUGGCACUUAUGACCUCUUCUUUGCUUUUGACUUCCUCAAGACUAGACACAUUCAAACCCCUUAUUAUUGUUAUUUUUCAAUUUUUUUUGAUUGACCAGGUGUUGACCUUGCGGCCCCCCACCUAGGCCCAGCGCCAACCUUUACCUGUACCUUUUUACAGGCCCUGGACACGUCUCCCCCUC
rnacentral:lncRNA from 1 species